GACGAACACUGGCGGCGUGCUUAACACAUGCAAGUCGAACGGAAAGGCCCUGCUUUUGUGGGGUGCUCGAGUGGCGAACGGGUGAGUAACACGUGAGUAACCUGCCCUUGACUUUGGGAUAACUUCAGGAAACUGGGGCUAAUACCGGAUAGGAGCUCCUGCUGCAUGGUGGGGGUUGGAAAGUUUCGGCGGUUGGGGAUGGACUCGCGGCUUAUCAGCUUGUUGGUGGGGUAGUGGCUUACCAAGGCUUUGACGGGUAGCCGGCCUGAGAGGGUGACCGGCCACAUUGGGACUGAGAUACGGCCCAGACUCCUACGGGAGGCAGCAGUGGGGAAUAUUGCACAAUGGGCGGAAGCCUGAUGCAGCAACGCCGCGUGCGGGAUGACGGUCUUCGGGUUGUAAACCGCUUUCGCCUGUGACGAAGCGUGAGUGACGGUAAUGGGUAAAGAAGCACCGGCUAACUACGUG
rnacentral:rRNA from 1 species